GUUAAGCGAAUAAGCGUACACGGUGGAUGCCUAGGCAGUCAGAGGCGAUGAAGGACGUGCUAAUCUGCGAUAAGCGCCGGUAAGGUGAUAUGAACCGUUAUAACCGGCGAUUUCCGAAUGGGGAAACCCAGUGUGAUCCGUCACACUAUCAUUACCUGAAUACAUAGGGUAAUGAAGCGAACCGGGAGAACUGAAACAUCUAAGUACCCCGAGGAAAAGAAAUCAAACGAGAUUCCCCCAGUAGCGGCGAGCGAACGGGGAGCAGCCCAGGACCUUAAUCAGCAUCAGUGUUAAGAG
rnacentral:rRNA from 1 species